rnacentral:rRNA from 1 species
GACGAACCGUACGAACGUUAUUCGGAAUCACUGGGCUUAAAGGGCGCGUAGGCGGCUUUGCAAGUGACGGGUGAAAUCCCUCGGCUUAACCGAGGAACUGCCUGUCAAACUGCAUGGCUUGAGACCGGGAGAGGUGAGUGGAAUUCCCAGUGUAGCGGUGAAAUGCGUAGAUAUUGGGAGGAACACCAGUGGCGAAGGCGGCUCACUGGACCGGUACUGACGCUGAGGCGCGGAAAGCGUGGGGAGCAAACAGG